AUGCUCCGCUCUCUCCCUGCCCUUCUCCUGGGCACCUUCUCAGCGGGUGUCAGAGCGCAGACCAUCCAUGAGUGGCCACCCACCAAGGUGCAGCCUAUGGGCAGCCCACUCUCCCUGGAAUGCACAGUAAAGGGGACGUCAAACCCCAACCUGUACUGGUACCGACAGGCUGCAGGAGGGCCCCUCCAGCUGCUGUUCUACUCCUUCAGUGUUCGCCAGGUGGAGUCUCUGGCGCCCCUGAACCUGGACGCCUCAAGGCCCGAGGACCACCUGUUCAUCCUGAGUUCCGAGAAGCCCCUCCUCAACGACUCUGGCCUCUACCUCUGUGCCUGGAGUACCACACUGCACUCGGCGGGGCAGACCUCUCUGCAAAAACCACACGCUCCCCUCCACCCGCACCACCACCCCCAGGGGCCCUCGUUCAGGGGCCCAGUGCAGGGUGUUCGCCACUGGGUUUCUCGCUGCCAGUCAGUGUGA